rnacentral:lncRNA from 1 species
CAGAAAAAACAGAUGGCAUCAAUACCGUUGCCCUCAUCAUCCCAGCAGUUUUACAGUUUAUCUCACAGACCUCUACCUUAAGAAGAAAAUAUAAGAGAAACAUACCAAAUGCUGUGGCUCCUAUUAAAUAAGGACUUUCCUACAAGAAGGCUGAGACCCUCAAGGAAGCCCAAAUCACAACGAUGAGAGUACUGGCAGACUAGAAAACAUACAACCCCUGUACCAUAAUUAGGUGGUAUAAGGAGUAGAACCACAGUGGACCAACCAAAGGUUCAGUUCAAGUUAAUCAAAUCCUUUGCCAUUAGGGGGCUCCGCCCACAGCACUGUAAAAGUGGGAACAGCAUCUUUUAUUUUCUAUUAUUUCUCCUUCCAGAUACCCACAUACCUCCACCCCAGUACCUGGCAGAGUGCACUCAGUGAACUUUCUUGAGGAUUGUUAACUAACUUCAAGGUUGACCAUUUUUACUUAAUCUGAGAGUAACUGACAUUUUCUGUGGUAUCCUUUUUCAUAUUUGAGCACAAGUGAUUUAGGACUUGGAACGGAGAGCUAGUAGGUGGGGCUAGAAUCGGCACCUGCGGAAAAUCCGACCAAUGAGGAGCGAACGACACAGCGGCCAUCUUGGUAAAGGAAAAGGAACAAGGAAGAAAGUGGAACCAAUUAGCAAGCUAAGCUGGAGUUGGAAUUACCCAGUGAAGUUGUUCUUAAGAAGGCUACUGUAAAACCAGUAACAUGAAGGUGAAUCUGUGGUUUGGAGCUCCCCCUACAGUUUGUUUGAAGACUGGUCUCUCUCAUCUCCAAGAAAAAUGACCACUUUGGAAAAUGAGUUCUUACGCAUGCUUGGAAAUAUUUUUAAUGUGUAUAUAUUGUUUAAAUUUAUGUUUAAAUGUGUACAUGAGGAAUCCGUUUUAUGUUAGACAUAUUUUUUUCGUUUGUUACCUGCUUGCUAGCUGUGGACUGUAUAAUUUAUUUUCCAAUAAGUCAAAGUCUUUGUUUUAGGUCAGAGUGCCAUUUUCAAGGUUGCGAAUUUCAACAAGAGUUAAAUGACACGUGAAACUUUAUGGCUAUUUGAGAAUUGGACAUUUUGAAUGAGAGAUUUUAUCAUUUUAUAUUUUGUUUACGUAUUUCUUUUCAAAUAUAGGGCCUGAAUUAUGACCAAGCACUAUAACUUUUAAUGAGGGAUAAAGAAUUGCAUGCCACUAUGUGUGUACUCUGAAAAAUACUCAUUUAGUUAGUCAUUUGACAAAUACUGAUUAUCAUCUAUGUGCCCGACACUGUUUAAGGCAUUAGGCACAUAUCAAUGAACAAAGCAGACAAAAAUUUCCCUGCCCUUGGGGAUCUUGUAGUUUAGUGAUGGAUGGAGGAGUAGUGGAUUAUAAAAAUUAUCAUGAUAAAGAAGUCAAUUACAUAGUGUAUUAAAAGGUUCAAAGUACUGUGAAAGCAAUGGGCCCUGGCACAGGAAAUCAGAUUGAAGGAAGGGAGAAGCAGUGAGGCAACUGCAAUUCCAAAUAGUGUGGUCAAGGAAACUCCCAUUGAAAAGAUUUGAGAAAAGACUUGGAGGUAAGAAGAGCUUUCCAGGCAGGGAAUAGCAAGUACAGAGGCCUUCAAUCAGGAGCUUGCUGGUGCAUUCAAGGCACAGUAAAGGGGCUCAGCGUGCCUGGAGUGGAGUGAAGGGGAGUGUAGCUGUAAAUCAUAUAGGGCAAGAGUCAGCAAACCAGUGCAGCCUGUUUUUGUAAAUAAAGUUUUAUUGGAACAUGGCCAUGCUCAUUUGUUUAUGUAUUUUCUGUGGCUGCUUUCAUGCUACAACCAGAAAGUGGAGUUGUUGAGACGGAGAUGAUCUAUCCCACAAAGACUAACAUAUUUAACUGUCUGAGUCUUUAUAGAAAAUAUUUUCUGACCCCUGCUGUAGGUAAGAUUUCACAGGCCACUGUAACAAUGUUGACUUUGACUCUGAGAGAAAUGAGAAGCUAUGGGAAGGACUGAACAAAAGAGUGAUCUGAUUUGUGUUUUGUGAUUUGUGUUUUGAAAGGAUCAUUAUGGCUGCCAUGUUGACAAAUUUUAGGGAAAAGGCUGGGAACAGGAAAACCAAUUAGGACUGUGGUUCAAAAGGUGUACCAGCCAGGCACAGUGGCUCAUGCCUACAAUCCCAGUGCUUUGGGAGGCUGAGGUGGAAGGAUCUCUAGAGGCCAGAGUCUGAGAUUGCAGCAGUGAGCUAUGAUCACACCACUACACUCUAGCCUGGGUGACAGAGUGAGACCCUGUCUUAAAAAAAAAAAAAGUGCACCAAUGUGCUCCCAAGACACUACAGCAGAUUCAUCUGGGUGCAGCUGGGUAUUUUAAAUUCGUGAAGGAUUCAUAGCAAUACCCAACAUCUGUUAGAUAUUGCAUGAGCUUCUAGCUAGUAGGUAUAGUUCACAGUUUCAACAUCAGGUCAUGCCACAUUACUUUCAAUGAUACUGUAUCUUUGUGAAGCUGGGUUUUUGGCAAGUGCCCUAUGCAAAUCAGUGUGGAACAGGAAGUGAUGCUGGUAAUAUCCAACUUGAUUCUAAGGUUUGAGAUGUACAGUACCCAACUGGCAUACAUAUCCCAUUAGCAAGUGAUUGUGGCUAAGAGUAAGGUUUUCUUCUAACUUAAUUAUAUUAUUUUUCAGAUGGCACCUUACUUGUUACAAUACUCUAAUGAGCAUUGUAUUAGUUUCUAGUCGCUGCUCUAACAAAUCACUACAAAUGACUUCAAAGGUUUCUGCCCCAAGCAACUGAAAAAUGGCAUUACCAUGAACUGAGAUAAAGAAAACUGUGUAUGAACCAGGUUUUUUUUUUUGUGGGGGUAGGAGGGCAGAUGAGAGAUUCAAUUUUAUACACGUUUAGGAAAGAAGAUACAAAGAGAAGGAAACGAUGCACAUUCUGACCAGGGCCUUUCUCCAGAUUGUCCACCCAUGAGCCCUUUAGGCUGUUGUGUUUUGACUUCUCACUCAAAACAUGGACUGAGCAAGUACAGAGUUGCCAUGUUAGAGAGAGGAGACUCAGCAAGCCUUGUCUGACUCAGAGUCUUAACUAGUUUGGGGCAAAUGGAGCUCUGUUUAAGGGAACAGAGAACUACAGGGUUCCCAUGUUUAAAAUAAUUAUGUCAAAAGAUUGAGCAGGAUUUUAGAAAGAUGGAGGCAGCAGUGUAGUUUUGAAUCUCCUCAAAUCCUCUCAUGGAAAUAGAUCAAACCAAACAAAAAACCCAUAAGUAGCCUUUAUCACAAAACUAGAGGACGGUUUUCCCUAUGAACCCCAAAACAAGAGGGUGGGGCAAACCAUCACCAAUGGGCACCAGACUUGCCUGGUAUGGCACCCACACAAGAGGGAGUGGUAGACAGUAUGCCUUCAAACUGCCAGCAGAGAAGUUCACUGGAAAGUACCAUGGGCCAAUGUGAGAACAGCAGCUGAAACUGAGGGGUUUUGCCCAGUCACAAAGUGAGUAAGUACAAGGGACCUGUGAUAGACUCUGAAGCACUGAAGCAGUCUAGUCCCUUCCCACUCUUGAGCCCGAGCAGCCAGAGCUCCUUUCCAGGAUGUGGCCCUGGAAACACAGAGGAAAAACUACUGGGAGGAACAACGGAUACAAAGAUAAAAAUCAGGGAGGGAAACAGAGCUAGGAAAUGUCAAAAAGCAAACCACCAUGUCAUUUGACACUACAUUUUUAAAAAAGAGAAGUUUGGGGAAGUUUUAGAAAAGUUAUCCUUAACACCUCCUUUUCAAAGUGCAGAAAAACCAAUUUCACCUAAAAAUGAAUAACAGAAAAGGAUCGUAGUCAAAUCCCAUACAAAGGUAUUAUAAGAAAAAAGAGAAUAAGCAGCAGAAUAGCAUCCUGUCAGACAACAAAAGCAAGUCAGAAAAGACAGCCCCGCCAGCUGAUCCAAAGAGUAAUCUGCUAUUUCAAAACUAGCUAAAAGACAUUAGGAAAAAACGAUGCAAAAGAUGAAAGGACCAUGGGGGGCAGGAUGGGAAGUUACUGAAUGAGUACUGUACAGAGUUUUUGUUUGGGAUGAUGAAAAAGUUCUGGAGAUGGAUAGUGGUAAUGGUGGAACAACAGUAUGAAUCUACUUAAUGCCACUGAAUUGUACACUUAAAAUGG